GUCAAGGUAGUAGAAAUAAAUAUAUUAGGUUUAGGACCUGAAGAUAAGACGUUGUUCUUUUUUGACG
rnacentral:tRNA from 1 species